GUUUGGAAACAGCCUCUCUGCAGCGCUGGAAACGCGAGACGCUUAUCGAUCAUUUCAACUGGAAGCCUUUUGUGUUGCAAGCCACUGAGAGGCUGCGGGCAAACGCACAAAUAAAAGGCGAUUUAAUGUUAUAUGUGACUACUGAGGGCUUCACUUUAAUAAUAAAAAAACCCAACACAGACACUACCAACAUGUAUUUUCCACGUUGGUGGCGACUGCGCUCUUUGUCCGGUCCGACCAGCAGCAGCAAAUAAACAAAAAACUGUGGGGGAUUUUUUUCGGAUUAACGUUGGAUUAAUCAUAAUAAGAGACCCAAUAACCGCCUUUGUUCUUUGCGUAAGCCACCCCCAACCGAUGAAAUUCCAUUGAAAAGUCUGCAAGAAAAGAUGUCUGAAAUUUCACUUGAAGGUCGUUUUUACUGUCUACAAAAUUAGAAGAUAAUGCUUUGGAGAUAACGUGCAGAAUGAAAAGUCAAAAAUAAGAGUGGAUUCAGGUGCAUCUUGAUCCUCUUCAGCCUCUGUGGCCGCUUUGCUCUUUAAUGGUGCUACCAGUUGUUCCUCCAAGGCCCGUGAGCUCCACACUGCUGCAGAUAUUUCAUCAUCCUAGUGUGGGCCUGUUCUGGCUCAUCUCCUUCUAGCUUCAUCUUCCUGAGUCCCCACAGCCUGAUUUUCCAGCUGCAGAAACUAUAGCUACCAUUUUCUUCCUUAAAGUCCAUUUAGGCCUUUAAGAAAAUGGCACCAAUGUCUUUUUCUGCUGCUAUUUUGUCAAUAGAGCGUUUGUACUAAGAGCCCUCAGGAAAGCUUCAGUGUGUCCCCACAGACAGUCUGGCAGAGGAUAAAAGCAUUUUAAAAGACAAAUGUGGUCCCAAGUGCUAGUUGAUAUUGAUACUGACAAAUGUAUUUCAUACAUACUGAAACUAAAUCAUUUACACUGUGUCUAAAAUGUGCAGAAAUCCUUUGGCACCAUGUACUUAGUUUGUUGAAAAACACUUGUGGUAAUAGUGAGUCUUUUAUUUUAAAAACCAAAUGUGUUAAUUUCCUGUCUCUUUGGCUAUAUGUCUGUGUGCCUUGAUGCAGCUGAACAGGAAGAGAGAGCAACAGAGACAGAGAGAGAGAGAGAGAGAGAGAGAAGAUUGAUUGGAGGUGGAAGAUGUUACACAUCACUAACCCACACAAUAACAAAACCCUCCAGUCUCUGAUCAGCAUGACAUGCCAGCUCUCUUACAUUCAAACAAUGCUAUAUUAUUUAUGUGACUGUGUACCAGCCAUUGAUGCACAAGCAAUCAUAUGACACAAUGCACAAAAACAAGGCAGAUAAUGAGUAACAGUAAAAAGAAAAAUAGAAUAUAUUACGUAUAUACAUACAAUACUCCUAUUGUAAUUUUCCUGUAAUUUGUUGAU